rnacentral:piRNA from 1 species
UGAAUGUUUUCGUGGAUAUACUUUC